rnacentral:rRNA from 1 species
UACGGGGGGGGGUAAGCGUUGUUUCGGAAUUACUGGGCGUAAAGGGCUCGUAGGCGGCCAACUAAGUCGGACGUGAAAUCCCCAGGCUUAACCUGGGAACUGCAUCCGAUACUGGAUGGCUUGAAUCCGGGAGAGGGAUGCGGGAAUUCCAGGUGGUAGCGGUGAAAUGACGUAGAAUAUCUGGAGGAACACGGUGGGCGAAGGCGGCCGAUG